UUUUGCCUAGCUCAAACUUUGCUUUGUAGAAGUGUAGUUUUACAACGAAGUCAAAAGACUUUAUGCUCAGCGAGGCAAGCCGGAACGGUCGCCUUCUUCCAUUUCAUAUUCAGGAAAUCGAGGCUCGGAGACCCAGUGGGACGCUGCUAUCUCAUCUUCCCAAACAUAGCCUCCUUCCAUCUUCAAAGCGAAGAAGAGGACAGGCUCAAAUCCCUAUGGGCUCCCAGUUCCCGCCCGUUUGGAAACGCCCCUUAGCUGCUGCGUGAGCACAGGCUAAGUCUGGAUGAUCACAGGAGUAACUAAGGCCGUUUGAAGUCCCCCCUAACUCUCUAUUUACGGGACUUACGCCCUUGAUCUGUAGUAUUCCUUCAUGUUUACACACCUUUCAGUCAUCACCCAAGAAAAAGCUUUAACACUACUCUUCUACGAAUAGAAGGUUUGUAAUUUAGCACGUUGGGAAUUUUAGGCCUGUAUUUGAAUAAUUUCCUUGGGUAGCAUGUGGAUUCUACCACAUUUGGGAAAGACUUUGAGCUUGGACCCUCUCUCCUGCCUCAAACUUUGCUUGAGCUGUAAGACAGACACAACAAAGCAGAUAACUAAAGAAAGUGGGCCCCAGGCCUGGAAUGUAAUGGAAACCAGAGUGACCAUCUACACUAAAUAGUGUCAUUUGGGGGUAGAGGAAAUAUCAACUGGAACAGCUGAAACAGAACCAGAAAAAUCACUGAAGCAAAGGGUCACUCUCAUUAUACCCAUGGCUAUGCUCCUGGUUCCAGGAACAAGUGGCUACCCUGGAAAAAGAAGAGAUGAAAACAGAUCGGCCUUCAAAUACGAAAUAAAUUCAUUCUUUAAUAAUUAAAAGAUCAAUGCUGGGCUUUAAAGUCUAUAAAUCUUCAACGUAAUGAUGAACUGGAGAAAGUUAUAGCAGCCUCACAUAAAUUACUUGAAUGAAUAAACAUUAUCACAGUAGUAAGAAGGCAAGGUAAACAAAUAGCUUAAGUAUUUUAUUUGUUUGCAACUAAGCUUGUUAACACUAUAUAAUGAAAAUUUACAAAGAAUAAUGUUGCAGUUUUUGGUUAGGUUUAUGUCAAAGACAUUCAUUAAUAAGGAAUCUUUGAAUGUGAAUAUUCCAGAAAUUUCUCUAAGCCAUCUGAUCUGAACAACUGUCUGUGAAUAUUACCUUACUUUGGAAGGUAUUGGCAUACAUUUGAAUUAAAUUCAGAAUUUUUCAAAAUAA